UACGUAGGUGGCAAGCGUUGUCCGGAUUUACUGGGUGUAAAGGGCGUGUAGGCGGGUUAUCAAGUCAGAUGUGAAAUUCCAUGGCUCAACUGUGGCGCUGCAUCUGAAACUGAUGAUCUUGAGUGAUGGAGAGGAAAGCGGAAUUCCUAGUGUAGCGGUGAAAUGCGUAGAUAUUAGGAGGAACACCAGUGGCGAAGGCGGCUUUCUGGACAUUAACUGACGCUGAGGCGCGAAAGCGUGGGGAGCAAACAGG
rnacentral:rRNA from 2 species